CGGUGUUCAACUGGCGUGUCCGCGGGACGUCCUGCCGGUGGGCUUAGCCCGCAAGGGCGGCCCAACUUCAAAUCCCAUCGCGGUGCUCUUCACUGAGUGUCGAGGUGGGCCGGCACGUUUACUUUGAACAAAUUAGAGUGCUUAAAACCAGGCAAAAACUUCGCCGAAUACUGUGUGCAUGGAAUAAUGGAAUAGGACCUCGGUUCUAUUUUGUUGGUUUUCGGAACCCCGAGGUAAUGAUUAAUAGGAACGGAUGGGGGCAUUCGUAUUGCGACGUUAGAGGUGAAAUUCUUGGAUCGUCGCAAGACGGACAGAAGCGAAAGCAUUUGCCAAAAACGCUUUCAUUGAUCAAGAACGAAAGUUAGAGGUUCGAAGGCGAUCAGAUACCGCCCUAGUUCUAACCAUAAACGAUGCCAGCUAGCGAUCCGUCGACGUUCCUCCGAUGACUCGACGGGCAGCUUCCGGGAAACCAAAGCUUUUGGGUUCCGGGGGAAGUAUGGUUGCAAAGCUGAAACUUAAAGGAAUUGACGGAAGGGCACCACCAGGAGUGGAGCCUGCGGCUUAAUUUGACUCAACACGGGAAACCUCACCAGGCCCGGACACCGGAAGGAUUGACAGAUUGAGAGCUCUUUCUUGAUUCGGUGGGUGGUGGUGCAUGGCCGUUCUUAGUUGGUGGAGCGAUUUGUCUGGUUAAUUCCGAUAACGAACGAGACUCUAGCCUGCUAACUAGGCGUAUUUUCGACAUCUCAAAGGUCCGUCGUCCCGGCCCUCGGGUCGUGGGCGUGCGCGAUUUUUACUGUCGGCGUACUAUCAAUUCUUCUUAGAGGGACAGGUGGCUUCUAGCCGCACGAGAUUGAGCAAUAACAGGUCUGUGAUG
rnacentral:rRNA from 1 species